UACGUAGGCAGCAAGCGUUGUUCGGAAUUACUGGGCGUAAAGAGUGUGUAGGCGGUGCUCCAAGUCUGGUGUGAAAUCUCCCGGCUUAACUGGGAGGGUGCAUUAGAAACUGGAAUGCUAGAGGAUGGGAGAGGUAAGCGGAAUUCCAGGUGUAGCGGUGGAAUGCGUAGAUAUCUGGAGGAACACCGGUGGCGAAGGCGGCAUCCUGGACCGGCAUUGACGCUGAGUAGCGAAAGCCAGGGGAGUAAACGGG
rnacentral:rRNA from 1 species